UCGAACGAGUUCUGAUUAUUGAAAGGUGCUUGCAUCUUGAUUUAAUUUUGAACGAGUGGCGGACGGGUGAGUAACACGUGGGUAACCUGCCCUUAAGUGGGGGAUAACAUUUGGAAACAGAUGCUAAUACCGCAUAAAUCCAAGAACCGCAUGGUUCUUGGCUGAAAGAUGGCGUAAGCUAUCGCUUUUGGAUGGACCCGCGGCGUAUUAGCUAGUUGGUGAGGUAACGGCUCACCAAGGCAAUGAUACGUAGCCGAACUGAGAGGUUGAUCGGCCACAUUGGGACUGAGACACGGCCCAAACUCCUACGGGAGGCAGCAGUAGGGAAUCUUCCACAAUGGACGCAAGUCUGAUGGAGCAACGCCGCGUGAGUGAAGAAGGCUUUCGGGUCGUAAAACUCUGUUGUUGGAGAAGAAUGGUCGGCAGAGUAACUGUUGUCGGCGUGACGGUAUCCAACCAGAAAGCCACGGCUAACUACGUGCCAGCAGCCGCGGUAAUACGUAGGUGGCAAGCGUUAUCCGGAUUUAUUGGGCGUAAAGCGAGCGCAGGCGGUUUUUUAAGUCUGAUGUGAAAGCCCUCGGCUUAACCGAGGAAGUGCAUCGGAAACUGGGAAACUUGAGUGCAGAAGAGGACAGUGGAACUCCAUGUGUAGCGGUGAAAUGCGUAGAUAUAUGGAAGAACACCAGUGGCGAAGGCGGCUGUCUGGUCUGUAACUGACGCUGAGGCUCGAAAGCAUGGGUAGCGAACAGGAUUAGAUACCCUGGUAGUCCAUGCCGUAAACGAUGAAUGCUAGGUGUUGGAGGGUUUCCGCCCUUCAGUGCCGCAGCUAACGCAUUAAGCAUUCCGCCUGGGGAGUACGACCGCAAGGUUGAAACUCAAAGGAAUUGACGGGGGCCCGCACAAGCGGUGGAGCAUGUGGUUUAAUUCGAAGCAACGCGAAGAACCUUACCAGGUCUUGACAUCUUUUGAUCACCUGAGAGAUCAGGUUUCCCCUUCGGGGGCAAAAUGACAGGUGGUGCAUGGUUGUCGUCAGCUCGUGUCGUGAGAUGUUGGGUUAAGUCCCGCAACGAGCGCAACCCUUAUGACUAGUUGCCAGCAUUUAGUUGGGCACUCUAGUAAGACUGCCGGUGACAAACCGGAGGAAGGUGGGGAUGACGUCAAAUCAUCAUGCCCCUUAUGACCUGGGCUACACACGUGCUACAAUGGAUGGUACAACGAGUUGCGAGACCGCGAGGUCAAGCUAAUCUCUUAAAGCCAUUCUCAGUUCGGACUGUAGGCUGCAACUCGCCUACACGAAGUCGGAAUCGCUAGUAAUCGCGGAUCAGCACGCCGCGGUGAAUACGUUCCCGGGCCUUGUACACACCGCCCGUCACACCAUGAGAGUUUGUAACACCCGAAGCCGGUGGCGUAACCCUUAGGGAGCGAGCC
rnacentral:rRNA from 1 species